UACGUAGGGUGCGAGCGUUGUCCGGAAUUAUUGGGCGUAAAGGGCUCGUAGGCGGUUUGUCGCGUCGGGAGUGAAAACACCGGGCUUAACUCGGUGCUUGCUUCCGAUACGGGCAGACUAGAGGCAUGCAGGGGAGAACGGAAUUCCUGGUGUAGCGGUGAAAUGCGUAGAUAUCAGGAGGAACACCGGUGGCGAAGGCGGCUUCCUGGACAAAAACUGACGCUGAGGCGCGAAAGCUAGGGGAGCAAACAGG
rnacentral:rRNA from 1 species